rnacentral:rRNA from 1 species
CCUACGGGAUGCAGCAGUGGGGGAUAUUGCACAAUGGGCGCAAGCCUGAUGCAGCCAUGCCGCGUGUAUGAAGAAGGCCUUCGGGUUGUAAAGUACUUUCAGCGAGGAGGAAGGCAUUAAGGUUAAUAACCUUAGUGAUUGACGUUACUCGCAGAAGAAGCACCGGCUAACUCCGUGCCAGCAGCCGCGGUAAUACGGAGGGUGCAAGCGUUAAUCGGAAUUACUGGGCGUAAAGCGCACGCAGGCGGUUUGUUAAGUCAGAUGUGAAAUCCCCGGGCUCAACCUGAGAACUGCAUUUGAAACUGGCAAGCUAGAGUCUCGUAGAGGGGGGUAGAAUUCCAGGUGUAGCGGUGAAAUGCGUAGAGAUCUGGAGGAAUACCGGUGGCGAAGGCGGCCCCCUGGACAAAGACUGACGCUCAGGUGCGAAAGCGUGGGGAGCAAACAGGAUUAGAUACCCCGGUAGUC